AACGGUCAAUAAGGAAACAUGGGAAUAGAACAUCAACCUCUAAGGCACCGUUUGGAUGUUUGUAUUGAGGCUAGGUAUUGGAUAUUGGGGCAUUGGAGGCCCGAAUACCUCAAUUUGAGGCGUUUGGCUGUCCUUGGCAUUCGGGCUUGGCAUUCGGGCUCAAUAUUGCCUGGCCCGAUUAACGCUUCGCUAGACUCCUCUCGAAUGACCAGCCUCUAGCCUCGACAUCUCCAGGUAUUCGAGCGAGCGAAGCUAUUUUCUACCCCGACCCGAGCCCAGACCCUAGCGUCGAGGCCGCACCAGCCAAAUCGAGCGGCGGCGCAAGUCUGAAUCCCUCCGCCUCCUCUCUUUCUCCUCCGCCGUCCACCGGCGCCCUUCCCUCCACCUCGUCCUCCCUUCCCCAACCCAUUCCCGCUUCCGCAUCUCACAUAUUUGCCUCUAUAGAUCGGUAGAGCUCCUUCUCCGAGCAGGAUGGCGGCGAGCUCCAGUCCCACCCUGACGCGCCCCCAGUGUUGAGCGCAGAACGCGCGGACGUGAGGCUGUGAGCAGGAACAAGACAAAGACGUUAUUUACCCCCAUCUAACCGAGUUUGAUUCAUCACAUAUGCGUGUGAUUCCAGAACCUGUCAUUUGUGCUAGCUAUCCUAAGAACUUCUAAGUUGUAAUAUUGCCUAUGAGACUAAUCUGUGGUGAACCUUUUGGAUGAGACUUGAUGGAUUAUGCAAGGCACUUGUUAUUAUGCUAUUGCUAUCAUAUUUUGAAGAACUUGGCUGCCCCUAUUAAUUAACUUACAUUCACUGCA